rnacentral:lncRNA from 1 species
AUGCUGUUCUUUAAGAAGUGAUUUUAUCCAACCAUGAAAAGCAGUUUCCUUUUAAGAAUGGCACAGCACUAGCAGGGAACACCUCGCUACCAGCUCCUCUCUCGAGGAAUUCGUUCCCUCUCCCUGGUCAGAAUUUCCCCUUUCUCUAAGGGCAGCACAGAGGUCAGGUUCAAACCUAACACCGUGCAACUGUUUUGUCAAGGUCUGACCUUACUGCAGAAAGCUUUAGUGGGUGUUACCAUAACCCAAGAGGCUCCCGAAGCAGGCUAAGAAGUUGUUUUUGUACACGAUGGCUCGAUAUGUGGUAGCAACCUAUUGCACCAAACACCCCUUUCCUCAGCUGGGUCAGAGUCAGAGGGAGUCAAAAGCAGCCAGAAGUGGAAUGACAGAAUGUGAGAAAGAUUCAAAUUCUCUCAAUCAAACAUGAAACAUGGAAAAGAGCUGCAGCUCCAUGUUGAUUUGAGCCUCACCUAACAGCAAAAGGAAUUUAGAAAUGGUUUAAAAGGGGGAUGAAAGCCAGUUACUACUAAUUUUCAGGAUCACAAGGUGGAUUUUCUCCUUUUCUCACAUAUGUAGAGGCAAAACUGAAAUCCAAUCAAAUUUCUCAUAUUUUAAGACUGCAGUAAGUAUCUCUCUGUGUCCCUUCUGUCCUUCACCACUCACACCAGUGCUGUCCAGCUUCCUGAAAUCACAGGCCUGCACUGCAACGAGCACCACGCUCAGAGUAAAUCUCUCCAGAUUGAGCAGUGAACAAAAAAAUCACCUGAAAGCACAGUAUCGUAACUUUUAAAAUGUCAUUUGUGGACAUUAAGAGCCUUUAGGCCACUAAGAAGCCCCCAGGCUUUGUAGUCAUCACCAAAGGGAAGUUCAGAGCCUUCCAGCACCAACAGCCUGCUCAGACACAGGGCUAUCAAUAUCACAAAUACCACAUGCCACAUGGAGCUCAAAGCCCAACGUUCAGCUCCCCCUGUCCCAGCAGGGCCACCCCAAGCUGGUGCCCAGUCCCACAUCCACCUCUGGGAGCUGGGCCCAGCGCUCCAGGUGUGACCCCACAGGUGCAGAAAGGACAGAAAGGGUCCCCUCCUUGUCCUGCUGGGGACACCUUGACUCAUGCAGCCCAGGACACCGUUGGCCUUCCUUGCAGAGAGCACAUUUGGCGCCCACGAGGAACGUACACACCCACCCCUCAACAACCUGAGGUCUCCUAAAAAACAAACUCUGUACUUCCAGCAGCUCACAAGCCUUCAGAGUCCUUCCCACCCCACUCCAUUCACCACAUUAUGUAUGCCCAGCUCAACUCCUUCUCCUCAUUAGGGGUCCCCAGAGCCCCCCAAACAUCCCUCUUCACACCCUUGCAACACCCCAGACACCCGAAAGCAACCCCACAAGGGCCCUCCCAUACUGACAAGUCCCACCC